AGCUAGCCCACGCCAUACAUCAAUAGAUGCGAGCGGUUUCGUCUGAACGCCGACUAGCGAGCGGUGAUUGGCGGCGUGCUGGACGGCGACGUGCUCGGCGGAGAAUUCUCAUCGGAUGAUUCCCUCGCUCCCCUGUCCAUCUCUCCCCCGUCCUCUCGUGCGACUCGGAGACCGACGGCGGCAGCGGUGAUGGAGCGUACAACGAUUUUGCGGCGGCGACCAAUCCCAAAUCCAUCCCACUGCUCAGACGGAUAAGGCGCUUGCGACAACCAACAUUCACCGAACCAGAUUUUCCAUUUCCUCGACAGGCGGCUCCGGCACAGGAAUGAAAGUGCGCCCUAUGUUCAGAUUCCAGAAGCUAUGCCACGGCCGCCUACAAUUCCACCCAGGAUAGCAAAUUUGCAUGCAUGUUUGAUUUCUGAUCUCUUCCCAAUCUGUCCUGUUCAUUCAAUUUUAUACGGUCAUAGUUUAGCUAGGCUCCAUAUAUCCGUAGUUGCAAAACAAUUCUUGAGAUUUCCUUGGUAAAAUUUCUGGAAUAUUACAUAAUAUUGCCUGUGCCAUCAUAACCAUUUGUUUAUCCCCUAGUAUAAAAAUACCAAAGUAAGGUCUCUAUACAUACAUACGAGAAGCACCUCUUUAAUUGUAAUUUGCUGGUAGAAACAUCGACCCGUUAUUACUGGACAUGAAGUAGCUUUUACAAAUGCUAUAGGUAAUUGCGUGGAAAUUGAUCUGAGAAAUUGUUGUCGAGAUAGGUAAUUACAUACUUGAGAACAGUUGCUCUUUAAGAUUUCUUGAGCUUUAUUCCGGGUGCUCAAGUGAAGCAAUUGCUUCUCAUUGAAGGGUCUGUUUCUUUCUUGGACGGGUCAGGUUGUUCCUAUUUUCUCUUUUAUUCAGAUUGGAUUUGUAAAUCAGAAAGUGUGAUGCUCAACGAGAUUCAGGUCGCGCUAAGACAUCAACGAUCAGUGCCGACAAGCCUCCACUAUCUAUUGCAAAAAUGAAGAACCGUGUUGAUUGCUUAUCUUGAAUAUGAUUUUGGGCAAAUAGGACCUGACUAGCUUCUAAAUCUGCUGAACUGUACUGAUCAUAGUGUGAAACUAAUUUUGCUUUUGCUCUUCUAAAGGCCAUCUCACGUUGAUUCAUAAUUUGCCAGAGGAGAUGGCUCAGUUGGAAGUUAUGUUCAGUUUCUUGAUCCUUAUGCUAAUUCUCUGUCCAUUUGUAAGACAGCUGGUGAUGUUCAGAAUAAUAAGGGAAGUGCCUUGCACCUGAAUGUCAAAUGAAAAAGUAGAGUUGAAGGUUGUGAUCUGUAUCCUUGCCAUGGUUGCUCCUUGCUGAUACAGGCUUUUAUAUUUGAAUGCUCGCUACUCUCGCACAUAUAUAGAUUUUUCAUUAUAGAUGCAAAUUUGGAGCCGCUUAAAUUUGCUUGCCUGUCGUUUUACUUAGCAAUCUGCAAGAAAAAGAAGGACACCAUAGAUUGCUUGGCAAUAAAGAUCGACAUAAAUUAGCAAUUUGUGUGUAGCCUUAGAAGUCUAUAUAUUUAUUAAAUUCUGAAUUACUUGUGCUCGCGUCCUUAAUGUGAUGGUUGCUUUGCCUUAUGAUCAAAUUCUCAAUUGGUAAUGGUGACUACAUUAGACUGUUUAAGCAACUAAGCAACUCAAGUCCCCUUGUGACUACAAGUCAUGAGUGGCCGCUGCACUAUUCUUGUAUGUUCUUCUAUUUUCAAUGGAAGCAUUCAAUCAUAUUUGUUUUUUUCUCUCACAUCAGUUUAUAUACCUCUCCAUGGAUCAUUCAGGUGUAAAAAUAUGGAUUUUCACUUUCGACCUGCAGUAUUUGACGGUCUCUGUGUGGAGGGUUUCAGAACUUUCUCUAGGCGCAGACCUGAAUACUAGCAGUACACGCUUGCAGCUAGCAAAAAAUGCAAGAUGCAGGGUCGUGUUUUCUUUUUCCAAUGCAUGGUAUCUGUUCAGGUGGAUGACUGCUAAUUUAUGUGGGAUACGAAUGUCUUCAUAUUUGUGGUGGGUACAAGUAAUAUUAAAUUGAAAUUUGAGGCCCUCUUUUCAUUACAACCAGUGGCAAAAUUUAGGUUUUGGUGAGAAGAAAGGUGAACCUAAUGGCUACAGCACUAUCAAGAAGAAUGUUUUAAUCGCUGGAGAAAUUGAGGAACAAAUGAAGUUGAUAGAAGAACGAGCAAUAAAUAUCUAUUAAACACAUAUAUAGAUUGCUUGGCUAUAAAGAUCGACAUAAAUUAGCAUUACUUGUUUUGGGCAUAGCUGAACGUACCAACUUAAUACUACUGAAAUUCUAAAAUCGAUCAGAAGUAAUGUUUGGUUUUGUUCAUAGGUCGUCCCCUGUUUUGUCAUUCCAACUAACUGAAAGAGAUUGUAAUUGGGUCAACAAAUGGCAUACAUUUUUUUUAAGCUGACAAACCUAUUUUGUUGAAAAUCUGAACUUUGUAGUUCAGUAGCUAUUGUGCAGGUGUAUUUCAAUCUUAUGGCUUUUUUUGCUUGAGAUUCGUAUACUGUAUGACGUUGAGUUUGUUCACAUUAACCUAUGUUCCUAUUUUGCUGAGUAUCCACUGAAAUAUGCUUAAUUUCUUCUUAAUUCCCCGUGUUUACUACCACAGUACCACUAUAUUUGAUAUGUUUUUAUUGAGUUCCAUUUAAUAUUGAUUCAGCUAUAUUAUGGGUGGCUUUGGCAUUUUCCCCUUACAAUCGUGUGUCUGACGAAUUAUGGGGAGUGCCUCUUUCACACUAAUGUUCAUUGCAAACUAAUCAUGAAAUUCAAUUACUUCAGGUCUUUACUUUCAACAUGAUCUACCUCUAAUUUUUUGCUCCUCUUGUUUCAUCACAAAGCAAUGAAGUUUAGUACUCCCUCUGUUCACUUUUAUAAGACGUUGUAGACAUUUCAGACAGUGCCUAAAACAGUUCAAUCUUAGCUGUCUGAAACGUCUUAUAAAAAUGAACGGAGGGAGUAGCAUAACUUCUAGUAGUAUUAAGAAAAUCCAUAUUGAAGGGACUUAAGAUACUUCUAUGUUUUAUUUUGAUGACACUCAGGUGUCAGACUAGUUAGACUUAGACAUUGUCGUAAAUAGUUGCUAGACACAGACUAGUUCAAUACGACGACUCCUACCAUUGAAGCUGGCACAGUUUGAUAAAAGACAUGGUUAGUGAGCAUUUAAACAAUAGUUACAGAAUUUGGCUUUUUGUCUUGUUUCUCACUAUACUUUUGAUUCACCUGCAGCUAGCAUGUUAUGGGUUCAUGUGAUUCUGAUGAAUUUGUAUCUGUUCAAGUGGAUGACGGUUAAUGUACAAGGGAUAGAGAGUCAUGUCUUCAUAUUUAUGGUCGGUAAGAGUAAUGUGCAAUUGAAAUUCAAACCUUCGUUACUAAUAACCAGUAGCAAGGUUCAGGUUUUGUGAGAAGAAAAGUGAACCAAAGGCGAUAGUACUAUUAAUAGGAUACUGUGUUUCUUCCAGCCCAUGGAUAAGAAUGUUUCAGUCGUUGCAGAGAUAGCUGAACAGAUGAAGUUGGCGUAAAAUCUAUGGUCACCUACUGCUUCAAGAUCAAGUUCGACAGUAGUCAGUUUGCAAGUUCGAUAGCAUUCAAUUUUGUAAUAGUGAUUUCUGAAAAAUAAUAAUCAUGCUGCUGGUUACUUAGUGCUCAGUGGCAUUCAGUUACGUCCAAACGAAUUUUAUUUGUAAUCUUAAGAUGGCUUUUGUUA